GAGAGAGAGAGAGAGAGAGUGCAAAUGUAAGUUCAGUAGAGAGAGUGUAAUUUCACAGGACUUCCAGCAGGUGGCAGUAAAGCGUCAGAGGAGCGCGUGAUUAAUGAACAAGAAGAAGAGCGAAGCUGCUAGUGUGGAGGCACUGCUAGGCCCUGUUGGUGUGUUUGGAUUUUUAAAGCAUGUAUUUUUACCUUUGAACGGUGUUUUGUAAUGUGUCUGUAAUCUAAUUCAGGAAUAUUGUAAUUCAAUUGCAUUUGUGUGUUUUUAUCUUCAGAAUUCGAGGAUAUCGAAGUGUCUCACAGUAGUGCACGUGGAAGUGUUAUCUGAAUAAAUAUAAUUGUUUACUCAGACGAUUUUUGGUGUUUCUGCUGGUUUUCUGUGACAUUAGAUUUUACAUCCAUGAUGUUUGUAGUCUGUUAAUUUUAACUGCUGUUUUGCUCUCUCUCUCUCUCUCUCUCUCUCUCUCGAGAUCAGAUGAUCAGUGAUCCUGAAGCUCCUGCUGAUCCUGCAGGUCAUCAGGAGCUCAUCUGAGCAUUAACGACAGGUCGAAUGAGCUGAAGAUCUGAGCGACGUUCAGAACAUCAGUGGAGAUGCUUCGGGAAGUUUUAAUGCACUUCUACAUGUUUCUUUACUUUACUAUAAAUAUGUAAAAUCAUACACAAAAUUAUGCAGUACAAUAUAUUGUGAAGAAUGUCAUUCAGACGAGGAUGAAGGAAUGUUGUGUCACGAGUUCACGCUGAAUCUCCAACACUUCAAUCCUCUUCAUGACCGUUUCUAGUGUUCUGUUAAGAAAGUUAAUUUUUGACAUUAAAUAUUCACUUAAUAUUCACUAAUAAUGAUCUGACUGCACUGACACGAUCAAACUGAACAGAACUUGAUCUAAAUAAUGGCUCUGUUAUCUUCUGUAGAGCUGCUUUACUGCAGAAUCUGAAUUUGUCUCAUAUUUGAUGAAGUUUGAUUCUGUUAUAUUCCUGUUUAUUACUGUGAAACAAUCUGUACUGUAUAAAGCGCUGUAGAAAUAAAGCUGACUUGACUUAAAAUA